AGAGUUUGAUCCUGGCUCAGAUUGAACGCUGGCGGUAUGCUUAACACAUGCAAGUCGAACGGAAACGAUACUAGCUUGCUAGUAGGCGUCGAGUGGCGGACGGGUGAGUAACGCGUAGGAAUCUACCUGAUAGUGGGGGAUAGCCCGGAGAAAUUCGGAUUAAUACCGCAUAAUCUAUUCGUAGUAAAGGAGGCCUCUAUUUAUAUGCUUUCGCUAUCAGAUGAGCCUGCGUAAGAUUAGCUUGUUGGUGAGGUAAAAGCUCACCAAGGCGACGAUCUUUAGCUGGUCUGAGAGGAUGAUCAGCCACAUCGGGACUGAGACACGGCCCGAACUCCUACGGGAGGCAGCAGUGGGGAAUAUUGGACAAUGGGCGCAAGCCUGAUCCAGCAAUACCGCGUGUGUGAAGAAGGCCUGAGGGUUGUAAAGCACUUUCAAUUGUGAAGAAAAGCUAAAGGUUAAUACCCUUUAGCCUUGACGUUAACUUUAGAAGAAGCACCGGCUAACUCCGUGCCAGCAGCCGCGGUAAUACGGAGGGUGCAAGCGUUAAUCGGAAUUACUGGGCGUAAAGCGUGCGUAGGUGGUUCGUUAAGUCAGAUGUGAAAGCCCCGGGCUCAACCUGGGAACUGCAUUUGAAACUGGCGAACUAGAGUAUAGGAGAGGAAAGUGGAAUUUCUGGUGUAGCGGUGAAAUGCGUAGAUAUCAGAAGGAACAUCAAUGGCGAAGGCAGCUUUCUGGACUAAUACUGACACUGAGGUACGAAAGCGUGGGUAGCAAACAGGAUUAGAUACCCUGGUAGUCCACGCCGUAAACGAUGACAACUAGCCGUUGGGGGGAUUUACCCUUUAGUGGCGAAGCUAACGCGUUAAGUUGUCCGCCUGGGGAGUACGGCCGCAAGGUUAAAACUCAAAGGAAUUGACGGGGACCCGCACAAGCGGUGGAGCAUGUGGUUUAAUUCGAUGCAACGCGAAGAACCUUACCUGGUCUUGACAUACACGGAACUUUCCAGAGAUGGAUUGGUGCCUUCGGGAACCGUGAUACAGGUGCUGCAUGGCUGUCGUCAGCUCGUGUCGUGAGAUGUUGGGUUAAGUCCCGUAACGAGCGCAACCCCUAUCCUUAUUUGCCAGCACAUCAUGGUGGGAACUAUAAGGAGACUGCCGGUGAUAAACCGGAGGAAGGCGGGGACGACGUCAAGUCAUCAUGGCCCUUACGACCAGGGCUACACACGUGCUACAAUGGGAAGAACAAAGAGUUGCGAAGCCGCGAGGUGUAGCUAAUCUCACAAAUCUUGUCGUAGUCCGGAUUGGAGUCUGCAACUCGACUCCAUGAAGUCGGAAUCGCUAGUAAUCGUAGAUCAGAAUGCUACGGUGAAUACGUCCCCGGGCCUUGUACACACCGCCCGU
rnacentral:rRNA from 2 species